CGCCUGCAGCGGAGCGCGCGAACUUAACCACUCGGCCACGGGGCCAGCCCCAGGAAGGGUCCUUUCUUGAUACUCCAGCUGGCCCACAGCGGGUCCGUAUACACCCAUUCCCCGACACGUGUCCUGGGUUCUUUGUCUAUGAAAUUCAACUUAAUAAACAUGCAUUGAACACCUGCUGUGUACAAAACACUGCUGGGCACCCCAGAAGGUUAGAAUGGAAGAACAUUGCUAGUCUUCCAGAAGCUCGCAAAUAGCCAGAAUCCACGAGGCAAGAGAGGCUAUAAAAGGGACCCAAGAAGACCUUCGGGGGCACUGAAGAAGAGAUUAAUUUCUGUCUUGGUAACUGGGACACUUUCUGGAGUUGGUGGUAUUUAAGAUGGACCACGAAUAGAACAAGAAUCUAAUAAACAGGAGAAGGGCAGGAUGUUCAAAUAGAGGACACAGCAGGGUUCAGGCCAGGUCCAGGAAAGGGUAAGUGGUUUAGUUUGGCUGGAGGGUAAGGUGCAUGAUGGGAAAUGGUGAGCAGUUAGACUGCAAAGAUGGGUCAGAGCAGUGACUCUGGGGAAAACCCUGUUUUUGAAAUGAGAAAUGCAAUCAGCUGGGCUCCAGCAAGGUUAUCCCGGCAGCAGUGUACAGAGAGGAUGCAGGAAGAGCCAUUCGGAGCCGGCUGGAAUGGCCUGGGGGAGAGAGAAUGAGGGUCCAAACCAGGGCAGCCCCCAAGGGGACAGAGAGGAGGGGUGACUGAGAGCCUGACUCACUGACAGCCAUUCGGGGGUGGGGACCCGUCUCCCCUUUCCCUUGGGUCCUGAGAUUCCUGGGAAACAAGCCCAAUGUCAAGGGCAUGUGUCUGUCUGCCCCCUUCCACCCCCUUGUCAGGCUGGGUUAGCUUGUGCCCAGCCUCUUUCCUCUCCUCCUCUCAGCAAGCCACCUGGCUGCUCACUGCCCCAUGUGACACCUGUCCUCUCUCCCGCCUGGGCCACGUCCCUCUCUGGCCUCUUCCCCCUUUUCGGGAAAGUGCUUACGAUCUGCCACCUCCUGUUCCCUGGAGCCUCCUCUAAAGCUCUUCUCUGUGUCCUUUGCCUGUGCCCCGUGGAGCAGAAUCACCACAGGGCUGCAGGUGGGCUGGCCCUGCCGUCCAGCGCCCUGCGACUCUGUCCUGUCCUGUCCUGCUCCCAGCUCCUGUGCCCUGGGAACCGCACUGGGUGGGAAGUGGGGUGAGAGUCACAGAGGCUGUUCCCUGGAAGGUUUCCGGCCGGGCUCCACAUCCCUGCUCCUGGCGCGGUGGUCCCCAAACUUUGCUGUACUUUAGAGUCUCUGAGAAGCUUCAAAACCUCCCCCGCCCGGGGCCCCAGGCCCUGCCGAUGGAGUCAGAAUGCAGGAGCCAGCAUCAGUGGUGCUUAAAGAUCCCCAGCUGAUUCCACGGGUGGCCAGGUUCCGGCGCCGUCUCCUGGUGUGUCCCUCCGCCUCUUGGCAAUAUUUCGCUCCAAAUACCUGCCCAGAGGGCCCGGCAGAAAGGCCUUCUGGUGGCUCGUUCCCUGGAGCUGGGAGGUGUUCGGUCUCUGCAUCUUGCUUGGGGCUCCAGGGGACGAAGUGGGAAUUCUUCUUUGUCUCUUUCUGUCCUCACCUCUCCCCUUUCUCCUCCCAAGUCAAAUCCCAAUCAGGGAGGCAAGAGAGUGCCCCCACUGCCCAGAAUGAAACGGUGACCCCAGGGAGCAGAGGGAGAGUGGGCCUGGUCACUGCCUCAUUCCUGUCGGUUCUGACUUCCUCAUGGCCGUGUAAGGAAGGGGAGUUGAGUCCCCCUAGACCAACUUCUGCUUCAACGAUGGUUUUCUUUUUUUUUUUUUCAUUCAUUAGAACCCUUCCUCAAAUGAAACCCUGUGCAGAAGCUUGACAUGCGACAGACAGAGGUGGGCUGGUUCUGGCUGGGAGAACCAGGGGUGGCCAGGCAGGGGCCUCAGGCCGGGGUGGGGCUGUCUGGUGGGCACAAGGACCAGGGACAUCAUGCAUGAGGCUCUGAGGCUGGCUCCACAAGGCUGCGGUCUCUGUCUACACCAAUUUCCUUGUAAAUUCAGAAUGGGGGGCAAACGUGGCGGCCCCCCCCCCCCCCCGCCCCGCAUACGCCCUUGAACCAAAGCAGCUUCUUCUGUAAUGUUUUCCUUACUGGGAGGACACGUAAGACACUGUGUGAUCAUGGGGCUCCAUGACUUCAAAAAGUUCAAAACCCUUGACUACAUGAAGCCUCGAAGGACACCUCCCAGUCUAUUUUCACUCAUUUCUCCCACAUAUACCUAUGGAGUGUUUACCAGGCUGUUCCAGGCACAUCAGUAAACAAAACUGACAGAUAUCCAAGACAGAGAACAUCCCACAUUCUCGGGGAGCCCCCGGGCUUUGAAACAAAGUCAUAGAAGUCUCCCCUGUUAAAAUUCAAAGCUUAUCACAUGAUGUUUUCCCAAUUGUCAUCAUAUUUCCGUACAGCAAGAAGUCAAGAAAGACUCCGAAUGAACGUGUGAGAGAAGCAGACACAGAGUGAUGGGCACUUUUCCUUGCAAUCCCGCGGUGAAUUUGUAGGGAAAGCAGAACUUGAACUCAUAAACUGUCUCUUCGUGUGAGUCAUAAUGUCCCACAGGGACGACCCCAGUUUCCUCCCUGCCCUCUUCUCUGUCAGUGGUUUCACUCAGGACACUCAACCAGCCCUACACCCCCUGCCCCCAACUCUUGACUCUGAGCUGUCUCCUUUUCUUUUCUUGCUUGCUCUCUUUCUUUUUUUAAUUGAGAUUCAUAAUAGUUUACAUCACUGUGAAAUUUCUGAGCGGUCUCCUUUUCACUUCAUGGUACGAAAAACCACAACACCUACUGGAAGCAACCAGUAUACAGAGGGGUUAAUUCAAGGUCACACCCAACUCUCGGACAUCUCCACCUUCCUUCCUGAGAGUGUGAGUUUCACAUGACAAGCCAUCCAGAAGAGGAAACUUCCAUCCCACCUUCUUCUUGGUGGUAAUAUGGUGAAAUGAUGCCAAAUCCAGGAAGGGGUAGUGUUGAGGAGAUAGAGAAAAGGAGGGGCCGAUCUCAUGUGUUAGUAUAAAAGUUCAUUUCUAGGAGCGCCAAAGACCCCAGAGCACCCUCCUUCCGUUCACUGGUUCCUGUUCUGAAAUUGCGCCUGUCUCAUUCCCAUAGCUCAAGGCUCUGGUCCUUGUUAAAAUGAAGAUGCUCCUAAUAAAGGUGAUAGUUUAAACUGUUAGCAGCUAUUUAUACCUCAGUGUGAAUGAUGGAUCCAGAGUAAGUUUUGUUUCAUGAGGCGUAGAACACUGGGGGCUGAGAUGUGGAGGAAAAGGUGAUAUAGAAACAGACAGAAUGUAGACCAAAGGUGAACUUAACAGUAUUUCUAGGUUGUGAGUCCACAAAGAGGUACCUGCUAUGGCUUCGUUAAAGUGAGAAGCCCGCAUCGGAUCUGACUGAUAUUCCAGGACCUGUGGGCUGCACUCAAAAAAGACGUAAGUGUGGCAUCUCUGUCUCCCCAGAGGCAGUGGGCUUCCUCCUCAGCGGCUGAGACUUCCCUUCCCCUCUGGGUCUGGCAUAGAGAUAAGCAUACCAUUAUCACAGACUGUUGGGGACCCAAGGAGCAGCCUUAUUUACGACCAGAAAAGCACCAACGUCCCCUGAAAUGCAGGGCUUCCGGUGCCGCGGGCUGGAGAGCUCUGCUUGGGCGAGGCCUUACCUAGCAGCCUGGCUGCACACACGGCUGGAGGAAAGAGAGAGAGAUGCGGAGAUUUCCACAUGGAGAUGGAAAGUGAGGCGUUCACUGUGCCCAGGCGCAGGGGUCAAGGAAAGAGGGGUUGAAGCUCUGUCACACCCAACCCUCCCUGCUCCUGGGAGGGGCGGACAAACCCUCUCCUAAGGAAACGUUCCCUGCACCCCCCCCCCACACACUCUGCCUCCGCUGAGUUAGGGUGGGCUUCCUUCCCGGAAGGGGGCUCCACAGGGCACACAAAGGAGAGGAAAGCAAUAGGACUGACCCACGAAGACCCUGCUCGCUUUCUGGCGUCGGUCUCUCUAGGAUCCAUCAGAAAUGACGAGCUGGAAGAUGCUCCGAUUAAUUGCUUUCCGGCUCUGAGAUGGCACCUCCAUCGCCAGUCAAAGUUUUAAUUAAUCAUGCCAGCAGAUGGGCUGUCACGGCCGGAGCGGCCAGGGUAAUGAACUCAUUUAUUAUCAGCCUCUGUCAGCGGGAGGCCAUCCGGGCUUCUGGGAAAAGAAGAGAGGCUCCUGACACCAGAGCCCAGGACACGUGCAGUUUGGGGGAAAUCUCUGGAAAUGCUUUGGUUUCAGAUCAUCCACUGGCCUUUAAGAGGGGCGCGGGAGGAAGGGGUGGGUAGCAGGAAGGAGAUUGUGACUCAGGCUGCAGGAAGGGGCCUCGAUAGCAUGGUGCUCUAGAUGGCGCUUGAGGCUGGCCUGGCCCUCUGGUGCCCCUGCACCCACCUGACUCAUGGAGCCAGGGUGACAUGGGGUAGCCAGGGCAUGUGUUCUUGCACAGGGCAUCACUUUGACCCGCCAGUCCUCAGAGGUCAAGGGUCAGGCCCUAGGGGUGAGUGGCUAGAUUUUGUGCCCUGGGUUUUCUUGUUCAUUCUCUCUGAUGCCCACACCAUGUUAUGCAUGACAAGUCUUUAAUAAAUGCUGUCGAAUUAAUGGAAGAAAGGAUAAAUGAAUACAUAUGUGUGGAGUGCCCAGCAUGGAAGCCACCACUAUGAGAAGAAAGCUUUGUUGGAGUCCACCUUAGGGCGGAGAUUCUCAGCAGCAUUGAAGGAGAAGCCUCGGUCUAAAAGACCCCUUCUUGCUUUAGGGACUUACAGGAUUCCUCUGACAGGACUGGGGCAGACAGAAUGCAGAAGCAUGGCGACUCAAGUAGAGAGGCCAAGGAAUGGUCACAGGGUGUCACAGUCAGAAGGGACGGUAAGAACAACUGGUCCACCCCCUCCUUGGCUGAGGAGGCUGAGGACCACCAGAGUGGAGGCCUUGGGUCACCCCGCUAGUCAGCAGCACGGGGGGCCUGGACUCCAGUCUCCUGGCUCCCACCCCCUAUUCUUUCAAUGUCUCCAGGCCUCUUGAAACCCCCUCCACAGCCUGCUCGCCCAGGUCAUUCAAAGCAGCCCACCCUGUGUCCAGAUGACCUUGGUCCCCUGCUGUGUUUAUUCUGCCCUUUGGGUUGACAUUUGUGUUUUGUCUACAGAGCAGAAUUGUCCUUUUCUCCUUCUACAGUUCGUGUGGGGAGAAGACCUUUGAUCAGCAGCCCCUUCCUUCUCCUGCGGUGGCCUGAACUCGGAGGGUAUAACUGGGAUGGAGCCAGGCCACCGCCUUACGUGUGUGCACACAUGGGAGCAGCCUGGGCCUCCUCGCUGUGGAAUGGCCGGGGUGUCUGCUGUGAUGGGGCACACAUCUCCUUCUUGGUUGAGCAGUAAACAAGGACUGUUCGGUUGGGCCUGUUUCCUUGGAGCAUAUCUUCAUGAAUAUUUGCUGGUGCAGGGAAGUGAUGAAGUACCCAUAGUCCGCACUAUGAAAUCAGAAAGUCUCUGAAGGAAGAAAUUGGCACUCUGCGGCCAUAGUCCUAAGAGAGAAGACAGGAACCAUUUUCCUAUGCCUCCUGUGUGCUGGUCAGAUUAAACGGCACAGAGGGGUGAGCUGCUGAACGCUUGGUUGUAAUUUUGCAAGACUGAUGGCAAUCACUUAUCCUACACCAGCCGUGCCAGGUACUGUUAUAAGCACCUUACGUACUUUAGAUUUCCCAUUUAGGAAAAUGAGGCACAGGGAGACCAAAUCACUUUUCCAUGUUCACACAAGUCGUGAGCGGUGAGAGCCAGAUUUAGAUUUCAGUGGUCUGGCUUCUAAAUCUGUGCUCCUAGCCACUGUGCACGGUCUCCUUGGGAAGACAGCGCAGGGAGGCCCGGGGGACAUCUCCCCAAGUUCUGGCAAAGGAGAAAUGGACCGCCGGAGUUUUAUGGUCAGCCUCCUCAGAAGCACGUCCACAUACUCAAACCGUGUUAUUGGAGAACAGAAUGAAUGCUCAGCAUUUCGAAGGCUCUCAGAACUGAACAGAAGCUCAGGCUGCAGGGCCUGCAGGGGUGGGUGCCUGCAUCUGCCCUGGCCCAGGGCCUUGAGAGAGGAGAACGCCUAUGUGUGUGGCUGGACUGGAGCUGAGAGCUGGGCAAGUGUUGCAAGGCUCCAGGUGAGGAAAGUGGCUUUAGGAAACGUUUACACAGCCUGUCUGUGUGUGCUUUGUCUCAUAGAGACACGAACACAGAGAGAUGUCUCCACAAUUAAAAGCAAUGGCAAACAUGUGAUGAUAAAAGAAAACGCUAGUCUUCUUUAUUGCCAGGGGUCAGUAGGGAGUGGUGAGGACUGUGGCCAGCUGUAGCACACGCACCCUCUAUAAGGGACAGCUGCUGCUCAGUGAUAGCCAUGUGGGAAUAUGGAUUAAGUGUUAUAUUUUUUUUGAGAGCAACUAUAAAUCUAGACUUUUAAGUGAAAUAUCUGGACUUCUUCAGGUGGGCUCAUAAGUUUGAAACUUUAAGUUCACUUGUUGCCCCUGAGCUGUGGCUUGAAGACCCCACUGGGGAAGGUGGUAUCCUGUGGUUUUGGCUCAGGUCAACUUCAUUGCAAACCAUCCACUCUAGCUAGGAGAGGCCCCAUGCUCCACAUGGCCCUGCGUGGCACACAGGGACAGUGGCAGGUGGCGGUGGAGCCAGGCAGAUCUCUUGUCAGGACAGUAAGACCCAGGGACAGGGAGGACCCCUAAAGGCUGACAGUGAACUUCCUGCCUAUUAGCUUACGGGUGGCUUUAAUCUAAAUUGGAGGAAUCAAAAGGAUGUGACCCUUCUUGGUGUCCUGGGUGAAGGAGAGCAAGCAAUUCAUACCACUUAUAACAGUUUCUUUUCAUCCCCUCACAACAGCCCUGGGAGCUAAGAAGCAACCACAUGUUGUUAACAGAUUCAGAUGGGCUAGCGGACCCAAAGGGACACAGCAAAUGGGAUAGUAAACACAUGCCCAAGUGCCUGGAAUCAGGCGGAUUGGGGUCCUCGGCCCAGCACUCAGCAGCCACGUGGUUUGGAGCAGCUUAUAGCCCAUGGGGCUCCAUUUCCUCGUCUCUGUAAAGUAAGCGGGAAACGAUACCUAUUAGCCCUGUUGUAGGAUGGAAUUUUUUAAUGUACGUGUCAGCUGUCACUACUGUUACCAAGUCCGAGUUGUCAGACAUCCAAGCCCACGUAGCCCUUAUUCGAGAGGUGCGACACACUGGCAUUUGAAGUUUUAGGGUGGAAACGAGAACCUAAAAUAUCUCAUUAGUACUGCAUACAUUGAUUACGUGAUGGAAUGUUAAUACCUUGGAUAGAGUGGGUUAAGUAAAAUAUCACUAAAAUUAAUUUCACCUGUUUCCUCCUCAUUUUUUAGUGUGGCUGCUAGAAAGUUUAAAAUUACACGUGUCUCGCAUUAACUGCCUUUUGGACAGCGUUGGUCUGGAACCUGGAAUAACGUCCGACACAGAGUCGCCCCUCAAGAAAUGUCAUUCCCCAGAUGCUUAGAGGCCCAAAAGGGGGAACAAGCCUUUGUCCUCACUCUGGAGAAUCUGAGAGUUUCAUGAAGAAGAGAACAGAAACACCUCAUGUUCAAGGGAACUCGGACCGAGACAAGUCAACAACUAGCCACAACCGGAUAGGGCAUAGACAAUCACAGAACCACAGACAGUGGAGGCCCCCCCGACCUGGAGUCCUCUGCUCCAUGCUCCUGUGGGGCAGCCCCUCCUCGAAGCAGAGUUCUCAGGAAAGAUGAGCUAGGACUUCCUCCAAGUCCAAGACACAGAGCAGAUUACCUCUCGCCGUCGGCGAGGGCCUCUCUGGAACACAGACGCCCUGGGAGCAGCCUGGGCCGUGCUACCCACUGUCCCGCUUACGGCACCUCUCCUGCCAGCGGGGCCUUAGAUGGACAGCAGAGCACCAGACUCCAGCCAGCACCAGAAGUACUGAGGCUGCUCUGUUUACAGCACUUUUCCCUCUCAAAAAUUAAAGCGGUAUGGGCACAGGGUGAGCCUGCUUCUCUGUUCUUCCCCAAACCCCUCUGACCAGGGCUCCUCGUCUUCCUUAAACAUCUACUGAGCCCUUGGGUCGGAACUGAGUGUGAUGGUGGGGGCGUUUUGGUACAUGGUAUAGGUCACUCACUUAAAGAGGAGGGACUCACCCCUGUGGUCAGUGGCCAGGGGCCAGGAGGACACUGGAGGCUGCAGCUCUCCUUGGGUUGGGGCUUAGGCAGGAAGAAAGCCUUCGCCCAGUGGAUUCUUGUUCCCAUAAUGGGCUUAGUGAGGAGUAGAUAGGAUAUGCCGGAGGGAGAAAGAGGCAGGAUGAGGAAGGACCUAUGGUCCCCUAUGGUGGGACAAGUAGGUGCUUAGCUAACCAGUUGGCUGCCAACCCAAUGCGGCCCAGACCCUGGACUCAGAUGUAGGGUGAGGCCAGUCCUAGAUCCUUACCACUUAGAGUCAUCUUGGAGUGUCACCCAAUU